rnacentral:rRNA from 1 species
CCCUUAGAUGUUCUGGGCCGCACGCGCGCUACACUGACGAAUGCAACGAGCUUAUAACCUUGGCCGAAAGGUCUGGGUAAUCUCCAAAUUUCGUCGUGAUGGGGAUAGAUUAUUGCAAUUAUUAAUCUUCAACGAGGAAUGCCUAGUAAGCGCAAGUCAUCAGCUUGCGUUGAUUACGUCCCUGCCCUUUGUACACACCGCCCGUCGCUCCUACCGAUUGAAUGGUCCGGUGAAGCGUUCGGACCGUGGCCUUUGGACGGUUCGCCGUCUGUUGGCUGCGGGAAGUUCGUUACACCUUNUNAUUUAGNGGAAGGAGAANUCGUANCA